rnacentral:tRNA from 1 species
GGGAAAGUGGCUCAGUGGUAGAGUGCUUGCCUUGCAUGCAUGAGGCCCUGGGUUCGAUUCCUCACCACCCUG